rnacentral:sRNA from 1 species
GGUGUCCAUUGAGAAGUUCUUAAUUCGUUUCUGUAAGAUAUAUUCAAGGUGGCCUCAUGAAUCCCAUCUGUUAGAGCCCACUCAGUGGAAAGUGAAUGCUUAAAAUGUAGUUUACAGUAAGCAAAUGUUAGAGCAUUUCAAUUUGCCUCAAAACUGCCAGGGGUGGUAUUUGAUUAAAUAAACUCAAUGGCUUAAGUACUUAAAUUGGAUUUGAGAUGUGCAUUAUAAAUGUCACUUGCAAAGCAUUUUCCAGACUUUCAUAGUUCAAUUAGUACAUCCAUUUUCCAGCCUUUGGUUUUGCCCUGAAGAGACUGUAUUUUUACCUCGCAGAAGGAGAAAUGUGCUUACUGUUGAGCACCAAACCCUUUCCUUAGUCCAUGGCUUAAUUGUUUCUAAAAAUUGUCAAUGCCACAGGCAACAAUCAUGUCGGGGAGCACGAUGAGUUUGAAUCAUGAGGCUCCAACACCUCGCAGUCAGCUGGGGCGACAGGCCAGCUUCCAGGAGCGCAGCAGCUCGCGGCCGCACUACAGCCAAACAACUCGGAGCAACACCCUGCCUUCAGAUGUGGGUAGGAAGUCAGUAACCCUGAGAAAAAUGAAACAAGAAAUAAAGGAGAUCAUGUCUCCAACUCCUGUGGAGCUGCACAAGGUGACCUUGUACAAGGACUCUGACAUGGAGGACUUUGGGUUCAGUGUAGCAGAUGGCUUACUGGAGAAAGGAGUGUAUGUCAAAAAUAUUCGCCCAGCUGGGCCAGGAGAUCUUGGUGGCUUAAAGCCCUAUGACAGGCUCUUACAGGUGAAUCAUGUCCGAACCAGAGACUUUGACUGCUGCCUUGUUGUGCCCCUCAUAGCAGAAUCCGGGAA